UUUAGAUUUACCUGUGACAUUGAGGGAUGUUUUAGAAGAUAUAAAACUGUUGCAAGUUACAGAAACCAUAUCUAUCGAAAGCACAGACAAGUUUUGCAUCAUCCCCUAUUUGAAAAGGCUACUUUAUUUGAAGAGAACAAUGAAAGUGAGGAGGAGGUUCCUGAAGAUGAUCUGCUAGAGAACAACUAAAAUUCUUUGCUUGGAAUUGAUUUAAAAACUGUGUUAUUGGGACUGAGACAGCAUGUACUGUUGUUUUGUAUUUAAGAUUCUGCAUGAAAUGACAAUGAGGUUUGAACCGACUUGGCGAAGAACAUGGAAACAUUUAAGAAUGGAAUGGCCCCAAACAUCAUCAGGAGUGCAAAAGAAGGAAGUCAAAAAAAAACAAAAAAACUACGCCAAUCUCAUUGGACUAGCAGAGGAAACCACAGAAGGUCUUGUUAGGAAUGCUGCACUCAUUUUAUUGCCAGCACUAUUUAAAGAAAACGCCAGCUUCCUCUACUGUGUAGAUAGUGAACCCAAAGGUGCUACACCAACCAUAGUGUUUAACGGCUCUCCUGAUCCCCUCAAGGCUGAAAGUGUCAGCAUAAUAAUGGACAAUGUGAACAUCAUAAGAGAGGCAGACAUUGACAUGACACAGGCUGUGGAAUGCCUAUUUGCAGUCUAUUUUCUCUUCAAUGUGCAGUACCCGGUUGACAUUAAGCACACAAUGACUUUUAUUUAAAAAUAUAUGCUUAACCUUAGACAACAGCACGGCAAAAGAACACCAAUACCUGUACUGAAAAUGUAUAGUCAACUUGUGUAAAUUGUAGAGCUAUUUAAUAGUUGUUUUAACUGUUCAUGUAUUGAUUUUUAUCUGCACUGUUAAAUAUAAAAAAUGAUUUGUUUUUCCUCAUUUCAGAGAUAUAUGUAAAAGUGAAGUACUGUAUAUGUACGUAAACAAGCUUAUGUAUGUUUAUUGCAAAGUGAAAAUGCUUAAAUGAAAUAAUUCAAACUAAAUGGUUAAAUGUAAUUAAACAUCUUAAAUGUGAAAUUUGCUGUCUAACACAGAGUAUACAGAGGUGUAAUUUUAAAUGACACUAAAUUUUUUGUAUAAACAGUUGAAUAAAUUGAAA